rnacentral:lncRNA from 1 species
UCCUCACUAAUAUUUAUCCAAAUAUCAAACCACAAUUUACUAUCAGGGCAAUAAUGCAUCUCUGCCCUACUUCAAUAUACUCAUGGUUACUUAAAAUAUAUUAUGGUUAGUGCUAUGAUGCAAAAUUAUUUUUUAUCAAAAUACUUAGCAUGUCAUUAUCACAUAUUAGAAAAAUCUUACCAAUUUAAUACUCUCCCUAUGGUUUUGUAACAAAUUAGUAUUGUGGUGGUAAGACACUUAAUUUUUCAAAAGGAUAAUAAUUGGUGUGGUGGAGUAUUGCUGUCAACCUUUAAGCAGCAAUCAUCAUAUAACACUAUAGCAGUCUCUAUCAAUAAUGACCAACGAGCGUUGGUUCAAGUGAUACAUAUUUUAUUCUCCUUAAACAAUAACUCGGGUUUGAGUCUUGUGGAUGAAAAAAAUGUUCGUUGGAAGAGUUAGUCCCACAUACCUGUAGAUGUUCUCGGCUUGGACAAGAAUGCCUCAAAUGCGAGGAUAUGGGAAACCAAAAAAAAUUCUCUAUCAAUAAUGUCCAAAUCUUUUUUUUUUUUUGCCUCUGCCUUUGCUGAAUGAUUCUUCUGAACCUUUGAUAAUUGAUUCGUUUACGCUUCAAACUCUACUAAUAUGGAAAAUUGAUUUGUUUGUCUUUGCUACGAAAACUUAUAUGUCACUCACUCUAAAAGAAUGCAAGGCCGUGAAUGCAGCACUAGGAAAAUGAAUGGAAAUAAUGAAAAGUAGGGGUAUUCAAAUCCAGAUCAGCCCAACAAUAAUGUUAAUUAUGUGUUUGGAUUAUAUUAUUUUUGCCUAAAAACUAAUCUAAAUGGACGGCAAACACCCCUAAUAAAAAGUAUUAUUAACACUCACUUGUUAUUGAUCGUUGUAUACAUAUAUGCAAAAAAAAAAAAUGAUAUCAAUUAUUGGUUUGUUGUUUUUUUGUAUAUAAGAUGAUUUAUAAGGGGACUUAGUAAGAGAGUAUGUAAUCAUUACUAUGUGAAUGACAACGUUAGAAAUAGUUUAUCGUUUUGUGUUGAAAGGCCUAAGACCAAUGACUAUUUAAUCUGUCAAAAUUUAUUUCAAAUCUUGAGUUCAUUAUUGGAUUGGGCUUUAUAGCGUAUGUUGUAGAAUUAGCCCUAAACUGAAGCCAUAGCCCAUAGCCCAUGUUUCCAGCCACGCAAGAAUUAAGACAGAAUAAAGGAAUUUUAUUAGAGGUGUACAAGGAAUUAAAAAAUUACAAGAAAAAACAAUUAAACUAAGCUUUGAGAGAAGUGCAUGGAUUAACAUCCAAAUCAGAAUAAUUAGAAGCAUACUUAUAGUUGUCUCUCUUAAUUCAAAGUCAAGCUUUUAUCUUCGUUGGAUUAAUAAUGUACUGAGUGAAUGAUUCUCUAGAGUUGAAGAUUACAUUAUUUAUAGUUAACUAAAUAGACCAAGUUCCUCUUGCACGGAAGGUUACAUCGUUUCUUAAGGAUUAAAUUAGUUAAUUUCAUGACAAUAAUUAAAGGAUUAACUAGAUUUUCUAUUGACUAUUUAGUGACUUUUUUUAGAGAUCAAAUUGUCUAG